rnacentral:rRNA from 1 species
CCUAACACAUGCAAGUCGAACGGUAACAGGAAACAGCUUGCUGUUUCGCUGACGAGUGGCGGACGGGUGAGUAAUGUCUGGGAAACUGCCUGAUGGUGGGGGAUAACUACUGGAAACGGUAGCUAAUACCGCAUAACGUCGCAAGACCAAAGAGGGGGACCCUCGGGCCUCUUGCCAUCGGAUGUGCCCAGAUGGGAUUAGCUUGUUGGUGGGGUAACGGCUCACCAAGGCGACGAUCCCUAGCUGGUCUGAGAGGAUGACCAGCCACACUGGAACUGAGACACGGUCCAGACUCCUACGGGAGGCAGCAGUGGGGAAUAUUGCACAAUGGGCGCAAGCCUGAUGCAGCCAUGCCGCGUGUAUGAAGAAGGCCUUCGGGUUGUAAAGUACUUUCAGCGGGGAGGAAGGGAGUAAAGUUAAUACCUUUGCUCAUUGACGUUACCCGCAGAAGAAGCACCGGCUAACUCCGUGCCAGCAGCCGCGGUAAUACGGAGGGUGCAAGCGUUAAUCGGAAUUACUGGGCGUAAAGCGCACGCAGGCGGUUUGUUAAGUCAGAUGUGAAAUCCCCGGGCUCAACCUGGGAACUGCAUCUGAUACUGGCAAGCUUGAGUCUCGUAGAGGGGGGUAGAAUUCCAGGUGUAGCGGUGAAAUGCGUAGAGAUCUGGAGGAAUACCGGUGGCGAAGGCGGCCCCCUGGACGAAGACUGACGCUCAGGUGCGAAAGCGU